GAUGAAGAACGUAGCGAAAUGCGAUAAGUAAUGUGAAUUGCAGAAUUCAGUGAAUCAUCGAAUCUUUGAACGCACCUUGCGCCCUUUGGCCAUUCCGAAGGGCAUGCCUGUUUGAGUAUCAUGAACACCUUAACUCUUCAUGGUUUUCCAUGAUGAGCUUGGACUUUGGGGGUCUUGCUGGCCUGUGGGUCGGCUCCUCUCAAAUGAAUCAGCUUGCCAGUUUUUGGUGGGCAUCACAGGUGUGAUAACUAUCUACGCUUGUGGUUUUCCACCAGGGUAACCUUCAGCAGUGGAGGUUCACUGGAGCUUACAAAUGUCUCUCCUCUGUGAGGACAGCCCUUUGAAUGUUGGAUCUCAAAUCAGGUAGGACUACCCGCUGAACUUAAGCAUAUCAAUAAGCGGAGGA
rnacentral:misc_RNA from 1 species